UGUGUGUGUGUGUGUGUGUGUGCGUGUGUGUGUGUAUACACACACACACACACACGCACACACACACACACACACAUG